GGCUCAGGAUGAACGCUGGCGGCGUGCUUAACACAUGCAAGUCGAACGAUGAUCUCCAGCUUGCUGGGGGGAUUAGUGGCGAACGGGUGAGUAACACGUGAGUAACCUGCCCUUAACUCUGGGAUAAGCCUGGGAAACUGGGUCUAAUACCGGAUAUGACUCCUCAUCGCAUGGUGGGGGGUGGAAAGCUUUAUUGUGGUUUUGGAUGGACUCGCGGCCUAUCAGCUUGUUGGUGAGGUAAUGGCUUACCAAGGCGACGACGGGUAGCCGGCCUGAGAGGGUGACCGGCCACACUGGGACUGAGACACGGCCCAGACUCCUACGGGAGGCAGCAGUGGGGAAUAUUGCACAAUGGGCGCAAGCCUGAUGCAGCGACGCCGCGUGAGGGAUGACGGCCUUCGGGUUGUAAACCUCUUUCAGUAGGGA
rnacentral:rRNA from 1 species